rnacentral:rRNA from 1 species
AACGAACGCUGGCGGCAUGCCUAACACAUGCAAGUCGAACGAGACCUUCGGGUCUAGUGGCGCACGGGUGCGUCACGCGUGGGAACCUGCCCUUAGGUUCGGAAUAACUCCCCGAAAGGGGUGCUAAUACCGGGUAAUGUCUUCGGACCAAAGAUUUAUCGCCUUUGGAUGGGCCCGCGUUGGUUUAGCUAGUUGGUAGGGUAAAAGCCUACCAAGGCGACGAUCCAUAGCUGGUCUGAGAGGAUGAUCAGCCACACUGGGACUGAGACACGGCCCAGACUCCUACGGGAGGCAGCAGUGGGGAAUAUUGGACAAUGGGCGAAAGCCUGAUCCAGCAAUGCCGCGUGAGUGAUGAAGGCCUUAGGGUUGUAAAGCUCUUUUACCCGGGAUGAUAAUGACAGUACCGGGAGAAUAAGCUCCGGCUAACUCCGUG